rnacentral:rRNA from 1 species
CAAUAGCGUAUAUUAAAGUUGUUGCGGUUAAAAAGCUCGUAGUUGGAUUUCUGCUGAGAACGACCGGUCCGCCCUCUGGGUGUGUAUCUGGCUCUUUCUUGGCAUCUUCUUGGUGAACGUUGCUGCACUUGACUGUGUGGAGUGCUACCCAGGACUUUUACUUUGAGGAAAUUAGAGUGUUUCAAGCAGGCAUACGCCUUGAAUACAUUAGCAUGGAAUAAUAAGAUAGGACCUCGGUUCUAUUUUGUUGGUUUCUAGAGCUGAGGUAAUGAUUAAUAGGGAUAGUUGGGGGCAUUCGUAUUUAACUGUCAGAGGUGAAAUUCUUGGAUUUGUUAAAGACGGACUACUGUUAAAGCAUUUGCCAAGGAUGUUUUCAUUGA